UUAUUUUCAAGGCACUUAUGAAUAGAAGAGAGAAUGCAAAAACCACACUUGCAGAUUUGUCCUGAAGUGAAGUGUCAAAUUCAAUGUGUGUUGAACUGUCUUUUUCAGGAGCAUGAACAAGACAAAGCAACCAGCAGAAGAAACUCUAGCCUUUUUGAUGCUGGUUAUGAAAAGGAAAAGUCUUUCUCUACAGGCUUUUUGUUACCUUGUUCUCACUGAAGUUGAGAGGAGGGUUUUGGAGACUGUAACAAAAUUUAUCCAGCUUCUUGGCAUUCCUGGAAAAAGUGUCUUCUGUUACUCUGCAGGUACCCUUGUGCAUCUGAUCUGAUAGAUGCAGUGGGAUUCUCUCUGGAACAAAUAAAUGGCAAAGUUACGAACAGUACUUGUCAACACCCUGUAUGAACAGUGUUUAUUAACUGACAGAUAUAGGAUGUGUAUGAACUGUUCAUUGUUUU